UGGGGAAUAUUGCACAAUGGAGGGAACUCUGAUGCAGCGACGCCGCGUGAACGAAGAAGGCCUUCGAGUCGUAAAGUUCUUUUAUAUGGGAAGAUAAUGACGGUACCAUAAGAAAAAGCCCCGGCUAACUACGUGCCAGCAGCCGCGGUAAUACGUAGGGGGCUAGCGUUGUCCGGAAUCACUGGGCGUAAAGGGUUCGCAGGCGGAAAUGCAAGUCAGGUGUAAAAGGCAGUAGCUUAACUACUGUAAGCAUUUGAAACUGCAUAUCUUGAGAAGAGUAGAGGUAAGUGGAAUUUUUAGUGUAGCGGUGAAAUGCGUAGAUAUUAAAAAGAAUACCGGUGGCGAAGGCGACUUACUGGGCUCAUUCUGACGCUGAGGAACGAAAGCGUGGGUAGCAAACAGG
rnacentral:rRNA from 2 species